rnacentral:lncRNA from 1 species
AAAGGCAUACCGGAAGCUAGGGUGGGCCGCACCGGACUUACUGCCGUACCUUAGAUUGUAACUUUCUGGGAUCAAGCUUAUUUCAAGAAUCAUGAACGCUUUGGCAGCAACCAACAGAAACUUUAAGCUAGCAUCUCGUUUGCUAGGCUUGGAUUCCAAGCUUGAACAGUGUCUCCUCAUUCCAUUUAGGGAGAUUAAGGUUUGUUGCUCUUUCCAUUUUUGUCUUUUUGCAUUUCUUUUCUUUGUUCCAUUUGGGUGCUGCAAUACACCUCAUUCCAUUUAGGGAGAUAAAGGUUGAGUGUACAAUACCAAAGGACGACGGCUCAUUGGC